rnacentral:rRNA from 1 species
UGGGCAACCUGCCCCAGACACAGGGAUAACCCCGGGAAACCGGGGCUAAUACCGGAUACUCCGGUCGAACCGCAUGGCUCGAUCGGGAAAGCUCCGACGGUCUGGGAUGGGCCCGCGGCCUAUCAGCUUGUUGGUGGGGUAAUGGCCCACCAAGGCGACGACGGGUAGCUGGUCUGAGAGGAUGAUCAGCCACAUUGGGACUGAGACACGGCCCAGACUCCUACGGGAG